rnacentral:lncRNA from 1 species
CUGGUGUGCAAUUCUUUUCUGAAAUUACCUUAUCUACAAUAUUGUAGCGAAUAAUUUGUUAAUUACAUUCAAAAUGAGGAUGUUUGAGCCAAAUUCAUAGGAAAAGUAGCUCUAAAUACUUCUCAGUUUUUGUACAGACAAUCACUUUUUAUGUUAAUCUGCCUGGAGGAUUUUCUUGAGAAGGUAAAGAAGAGCAUCUUUCAAAACAAGCAAGGUGGAAAUACUCCCUUAGGGGAACAAGAAAUUCAGCUUGUUAACCACAGGCUAAUGAAAUGCAGAUUUAAAUCUCCCAGUACCUGUCUUUUUCUAGGACCACAAGUAACACAAUGAGAUUAUAUAGAUAUUUUCUACUUAAACUCAUUUUCUGCUGAGAGAUGGAUGGAUUAUGGAGUUAGGAUGGGAUGUAACAUUUAUACUGGUUACUGUGGAGAAAUUGAGAUUAAACCUUUUGAACUAUGGCCACUUGCCAAGUGGAUUUCCUUGAAAUCACUUGCAUAGUGACAAUAUUUUUCUGUCCCACCUGAAAAAAUGGAAAUGUCAUAUUGAACAAUGGCAAAAACUGAUUAAUCACCAGGAAUGACACAGUAUACCCUGUUCAACCACCGUUUCAAAAUUUUUGGCUUACGAAAAACCUGUCCCUAUUUGCUACUCUUCCUGGCAAAGAAAUUUGUGUUCUUUGUUCUUUAAUGUUUUGUAAUCUCUGUGUUCUGUGAUUUAUUUGGUAUUUUUUGUGAUAGCCAUGUAACAAGAAGUGCAGCUGCUGCAGACUUUUUAUCCAAUAUUUUAAACUCCCUACAUUCCCAAAGGAAUGUUAAUUCUUUCCUUGGCUGCUGCUCUAGUUCUUCCAUGUUGUACGAUCUGUUGAUCUGUCUUUUUUGAUUUUUGCUUACAUUUGUGCCUCUGCACAUCUUGUAGAGGCAUCUCCUGGGAAACAUCUUCUCUUUGUUCAUGUUUUAGUCUUGAAAUCAGUACUUGAACGUAGCUGUAUUUUACAGAUUGGUUAUUUUGCUAUAAUUAAGCCUCAUGAAUAUGAAGAUUCAUGUAGUAUUCCCUUGGUGUCCUAGGAAGUUAGGUUUAGCAGUAUGAUUUCAUUUCAUCUCUCUGGAACCCAUCAUCAUGUCACUUUUGCUAAACUGAAAUAUCACACUGGUUCUUAGGAAAUACAGAGGAUGUACUUGCCAAAAUUUGGUUUUAUUUUUAAGCCUAAGUAGAGAGACUUCAAUAAUUCUUCUCUGGAGAGCUGAGACAAAACUUUGCUGGGGGAGAGAGAGGGAGGAAAUAAGGUCAAUGAAAAUCUUAAAAUAAUUUUAUUUGAAAAUUUAUCAUAAUAUUGACAUUUAAUAAAACCUCUAAUUGUUGGCAGUGUAGUUUACUGAACAAAGCCAUGAAUAAAAAGUUUGGAAAAUUGAUCGUAUUUUUAAGACUAUCCUUGAUUUUUUUGUGUGUUUGUUUUGGGGAAAGGCCCUAUAGGUCCUUGCUUUUGGAUUUGUUACCACCUUGUUCUAUUUUUCUAUUUUUGCCCUAUUUGCAAAUCAUUUUGUGAUUUUUUUUUUUCUUUUUUUAAACAUAAUUUUUUAAAGGAGGAAAAGAUUUUCUGGGAAAGUACCACCUUCCAUUUUAUGAAUUCACAGUGUGCAGUACAAAAGACACCAGUCUCAGCUGGCUUUUAGGUGCCAUACAUAUUCUAAUAACAAAAAAAGUUCAAAAGUAUGCCUUUAAAAGUAUUUCAAUAUUUUCUAGAUGGUGGAGUGGUUUUUAGUUUACUGACUGCAGCAGAAGAAUGAGUAGAAAUAAAUCUAAGCAGACUGCUCAAGGUUGGGGGAAAGACUUCUGAGUCCCAACAGAAGUCUUGCUGGACCCUCGUUAGUAAUAACUCAUAAUGAAAAUUUUAUAGUUUGAUCUGUCACUUUGCCUCUGUAAUUGUUUGCUUUCCAAUUCACUCUCCUCGUUAGGUAUUAGUGAUUAUGAGUAGCUCUGAUUUGAAAGUUAAAGCUUUGAUUCUUUGGAAAAUUAACCUCAGUCUAUAGAUGGCUGAAACCUGGACUGUGUAUUAAGAUUUUAUAUUUAACCUUUUAUAAAGCAAAUUACCUCUGUGACCAAAGGCUGCUUUUAGUUGUUUUACUGAGAAUGGAAUUCCUCCAUUCAGGUUCUGGGACAUUCUGCUUUUCCAGCCAGACCUAGUGACUUCAAAAUUGUACCUUCAGCAAGUGAUUUUACCAUCUAAAGAUAUCUAGAUUAAAAAUAGGCACUCUUUUUUUUUUUUUUUGUCCCCUUCAAUAAUAUUUCUGACUCAAACCCUGCUAUAAUUAGUUAAUAGAUAAUUAUAUAUAGUUCUGCAUAACUUGCUGAUCACUUUCAUAAGUUUCAUCUCGUUUAUAUUCAGGAUAUAAUUCUAGCUUUCAGCAAAGUGCAAUUGCGGAGUACGAUAGGGAGGUCUCGUGCUAAUCAGAUUUAUUCAUUCCCUCAAAAUAUAGUACAGAACAUUAAUUUCAUGCUACUUCAAAAUGUAUUAGCCAAAUGGCAAUCCCAUUCUGAAUCACAGAAAGGCUGAUCUGGGAAUAAAAAAGACCCUCACAAGAAAAGAAACCCAUUCCCUCAAAACCCCCUGAAACCUCCAAAGAUGCCAACAUAAUUUUCAGUUUUAUGGAACAUACGCCUUGUCUGAAAAUUUGAUCUUGACUUUUUUCUCCUUUAUUUUUUGAAGACUCAGAAAAUAUAUUAGAGAAGGAGUACUGUGAUAAUGGACUGUAACAUUAAGUAAUUGACUUACUGUCAUGAAAGUAAUUAAAAACAUUUAUCAGCAUACAAAAACUGCACGGAACUUUAUUAAACAGAUUGCAAAAACAACCCCCAGGUCACACGGGAUACCUCAAAAACUAUGUGUUCUGUGGGUCCCUUCUUGGCUUAGUCAAUAUUUUAUUCUACCAUCCAGAAGAAAACAUGAAAUGAUCCUUGUCAAAUUCCUCAAGGGGCUGAAUGUCAGGCAGUGAAGAAAUCUUGCCCUCAGAGGGUGGCACUUGAUCACACAGGACAGGCUGGGCACAAGAAUUACCCUAAAAAAAGGAAUGCUCUUGGUUGAAAGGAAUGACAAAAGUCAGGGGGUCUGCAAAAUAAACAGAAUUUUAUGACUGAAUUACACACUUGGCAAUGAAAUUGGUGUGUUGCUCCCUGAUUUCUUGGUAUAAGCACACAGGUUUAGGUAAAGGGAAAAGAGAGAGAAAAAUAUGAAUUAUAGAGCAGGAUGGAGAGAAAGGGAGAAAAAGAGGUCACCAGUGUUAAUCCAGUGUCCAGGUUUGGGUAAAAGGAAAAUGAGAGGAAAAUAUGAAUUAUAGAGGAGAGAGAGAGAAAGCAAAGGCUCACCAGUGUUAAUCCAGUGUCCAGGUUUGGGUAAAAGGAAAAGUGAGAGUAAAAUAUGAAUUAUAGAGGGGAGAUAGAAAGCAAAGGCUCAGCAGUGUUAAUCCAGUGUCCAGGGUCUUGGGACGCACAUGCUCCCAGGCUUUGUUUCAUGUGACAUAAGUUGUCCCUGCCUUGGAGAUAAAGUUCUUGCUUUCCAUGCAAAUUAGUUCUCAUGCACAGUCUGUUCUUCCAGACCUUUCUAGAAAUGGGUUAGAGCCCUUUGGGAUUUUUUGGUGGUCUUGACCCCCCCACCCAAAGUCCACCCCCACUUUUCAACCUGCUCUUGCACUGUGCUGUGUUGUGCUGAUCUCCAGGAGCCAAAACAAGGAGUUUUGUCACAGAAAAGUGCUGUCCUAGCGCUGAAUGGCCCCUUCUCCAGCCACACCCUGCUCUUCCCCACAGUGUUCUCACCAACAAUCCUGUCAGGAACCAUGGAUGGAAUGGGGUCUCCCUUGGAACGUGCUCUGGGAUCGUGUGGCUGCAGCCUGUCCUGCACUGGUGUGCUGAGACCAUUGAACUGCCAUGGGAUUAAGUGAAUAUUAACUAGAGUUGAGGAGAAGAUAAAAUUUUGCUUUUAGCUUUGGUAAGACAAGCAGAAAUUCUGUAUUCCAGGGGCAAGUCUAGAAAAUGGUCUGGGUUCUGGAAAAACCAUCCCAAAGUGAAGACUGUAGGAGUUUACUCUCCAGCUUCUUACUGAACAUCUAGGCAGAAAUUAUUUAUUCCCAGCUGACAUGGCUGGAGGGACUGUGGUGACAAAACUGAAGCUCCUUAGCAUGACAGGAGGAAUAAAUGCAAGGUUUUCACAACAAAAACAAUCCUUUAACAAUUAGUGUUUACCUCAAGGUGCAGUGACUUGCAGAAAGAUGCUCUGCAGCACAGCCAGAAAUGAUUAGCUUCGAUCACUGGAGAAGGUUAUGAGCUGUGAUGACACAGAUGAUUAUUUCUCUUUAGAGCUGCAUCUCUUUAAAAACAAAUUAAAAAGAAUUCCGGAGUUGUGUGAGCGCUGUCCAGGGUACUGACACGAGAGCUUUCUUCUGUCACUAAAAUGCCGUUCAAGAUUUUUAAAUAUGUCAGCUUAAAAUUGGAAAAAUACAUUGAAAAUGGUAUUAAUGAUAGCUGUGUUCUCCUCCCACAGAUGAAUGUAUUUACUUCUGGGAAUGUUUUGUUCAUUGUGGGAUAUCCCCACCCUUCCCAAAUCCCCUUUCCACAUUUCUCCAUGAGUUGAAGUAUUUAGUUCUGUGUAACCAUUUGUCUAUUCAUUGGCCAGGCAUGGAAAAAUUUCAUAUAAAUUGUGUAAAAAAAUAAAUUUCAAAAUAAUAACUCUGACCUAGAGUGACCAGCUUUUCAAGGUUCAUAACAAAAAUAGGGGUUUUUUUGUGAUGUGCACCAGUGUUCUGGAGGGGUGGGGCUGAGACUUUUCCCCUCAUUCUGCUUCUCUGAUGGUAAAUUCUAAAUUUCAGAUGUGCUGCCUGCUUCUGAAAUAUCCUUUUCAGACAGAGAUUCCUGCAUGCAAGCUGCAAUUCAGGAUUAACUCUGCAGAGUGAUACAGUAUUCAUGGGUUGUCCCAUCCCACAGCUAAUUUUCCCUGUCUUUGGAAAGUAAUAAUUUUUUUCUUUUGAGAUAUAUUUGUGAAAAAACGUUCUGUUGCUGAGUUGUGACCAAACAUGUUCCACACUGCUCAUAUUUGCCUUUUCACUUUGUUAUUUCUCUUUGUCUUGGGAAGUCACAACAUCUGAGAGCCCAGAGAAGGUCAUGCUCUGUACUUGUGUCAGGCUUGACUCUAAUUCCAUGCUUCAUUCUUGACUUUUCUUUACCCUGAGGACAGGCAGGCAGAAAGACCAUAUUUAAUAUAUUUAAUAUCACAAUUAACUCUCCUAAAGCAAUCAUGCUGAAAAAAAAAAAAAAAAA